GCGGGUUUAGCUCAGUUGGGAGAGCGUCAGACUGAAGUACCACGUCAUUCAAUCGAUAUUAUACAAUUGAUAUCUGAAGGUCAUGUGUUCGAUCCACAUAAACCGCA